rnacentral:rRNA from 1 species
UACGUAGGGGUGCAAGCGUUGUCCGGAAUUAUUGGGCGUAAAGAGCUCGUAGGCGGUCUGUCACGUCGGCUGUGAAAUCCCGAGGCUCAACCUCGGGUCUGCAGUCGAUACGGGCAAACUAGAGUAUUGCAGGGGAGACUGGAAUUCCUGGUGUAGCGGUGAAAUGCGCAGAUAUCAGGAGGAACACCGGUGGCGAAGGCGGGUCAUCCUGGGA